CGCAUCCUCAACCUUGACAAAAUAAACUUUCUAAAUUAACUGAGAUCUGUCUCAGAUUUUCUAGGUCUACACAAGUAAGAUAAAAUACAUAAAAGUAUCUUGAAUACUAACAUCUACUGUUCUGGUGCUGACAGGGAAAAGACCACAGAAAGUUGGGCAAGUGUGAUGGAGGAAGAGGGGUGUUCGGGGUAGUAUAUCACCAAGUCCUAAUGUUUUCUUCUGUGUGGAAGGAGCUCACUGGUGUAAUUGACCUUAUGUCCUAAGACUUUGCUGAACUUACUACUCCUACUAUCUUUUUUGCAGCAUCCCUAGGUGAUGUACAGUAUGUUAUCUAUAAAUAGGCAAUUUUGCUUCUUUCAAAUAUAUAUGCCUGUUGUCUGUCAUUUCUUAUUUGCUGACUAGAACUUGCAAUCAAACAUAAAAGUGUUACAGCUCACCUAAUUUUAAAUGAAAUGUAUUUCUUUUUUGAAUAAGUUUAAGAAGUAUUUUAAGAUAUUUAUCAAUGUAAUAUUUUGGCUGAUAGCUGGCCCUCACUCUCUCCUCCCCUGGAGGAGAAUGAAUUAUAUUAUUGAUGAGGUCAGGAUAUGACAGUGGGCAUUUAAAGCCAACCUCCUUCUCUCAUCUUUUUCACGGAAUCCAGCUGCCCACAGUGAACUGUUCUGCACUGCUCCUCUGUUCCCUGAGCUUUACAGAGUCUAGAUCCCAUGGUACAGAAUUGGGGGUGGGAGAGGAGAUGGCUGUAGCGUUCAGGAGUCUGUGUCUAACUCAGUUUUUAAAAGCCAAGGAGCCCGUGACUAACUCAGUUUUUAAAAGUCCUUGCUGUAAAACUAAGUCACAUUCCUUGGGAUUAACUUUAGCAGUAAGAAAGAUGAUAUAUCAUCUUCAUCUGCUUUCACCAGCCUAGAUUUUAAUUUUCUCUCUCAAGUACCGCUGAACUCAGGCAGGAAGAAGAGUGCUGUUUAUUGGACUCCAAAUCUCAUUCAACAGAACAAAGAAGUUGAGGUUUGCAAGGAAGAACCUAUAAUGAUGGGUCAUGGAAUAUAAACUAGAAAAGAAGAGAAAUGAAAGAAGAAAAGGAUGUAUGGAUUAAAAACUACGUUGACUUUUUUUUAAUAAAACAGACAAAAGAGUGUGGAAUAAGAAAAUAUAGCAUACUGUAUAUCCCAAAAGCAAUGUAUCCAAAAAUUUUCCUUGGAAAAACAACAACGAAAAAAAAAAAACAGCUUGCUCAUGAAAGAGAAUACAGAUCGUUUUCUCUUUAACAUAGGUACUAAUCCUGUACAAUCCACAGCUGGAGUCCACACCUUGUGACAACAAAAGACAGCUCAAAUCAGCUUCAAGCAUGGAUCAUAACUAACCGCGGGGCUAUUUUUUCCAUCUGUAAUAAAGAAUGUUCCAACAUCUUUAAUGACCGAAGAUAAUCCUCUGUCGUCAUCUUGAGCAUCUAGGCUAUAAAAAUACAUACACUGCUUUCAAGAAAGGUUCUGGUCCACUGGUGUCACGUGAAGGUCAGAUUAUGGAAAACUGGCAUUGUUACAACAAGAAAUGAAGCCUGCUCAUUUUUUCUCUGGGUAUUUUGAAUAAAAUAUCUCAUAGUUUCCAACUUGAAGAUUUAA